CAAGCACUGCUCUUUAGUUGUAUGUGCAUCUGAGCCUAAGAUUAGGUUUUAUUAUAAAUAUGUAAGUAUAAUUUUUUUUAAUAGUAAGCAACUCAAGCCUAGCAAAAAUACUACUUCUAUUGCUACUCAGUGAAAAAGCAUAUUUAUAUAUUUAAAAAGUACAAGGACACCUAGACAGAAAAGUAAACUUAGAAUGAGGUUUCUGAUAAUGAAGGUUAUUGUUCUUCCUCUCUAUAGAUAGACAGACAGAAUAUUCAAGCAGACAAUGAACAGGGCACAGAUGAUAACAGAACCCUGACCCCCAGCUCGGCGGCAAUCAGCAUGGAGAGAUCAGGACGUGGUCAAAACUUGCAGGCUUCCCCCAUGUUGUUGUUGUUCUUACUUUCAACAUGGAACCAGACAGAGAAAACCAAACAUACUCCUCCAACCAAUCACUUAGGAUGUCCAGCUUCUAGUUGGAAAAAGAAAUCCAUGUUUUUCCUUAACUUCCUAAGUUCAUAGUUGGAGCAGAGUCUGUUGCGGAGGCUGUAAGUCCAAGAUCAGGGCUGAGCAGAUUAUGUUGUCUGGUGAGGACUUGGUCUCUGCUUUGAAGAUGGCACUGAUACGGCUCCGAUGAGUGGAGGAGCACCAGGGCUCGUCUUGCGCGAAUUGGAUAAAACAACACAGACACAGUUGGAGUGGUUUUAAGGAGCAGAGUGUUUAAAAGGCAAGAAAGAAGAGAGAAGAAAGAAGGAAAAAGCUCUCCAGAGGGAGGAGGGCUCCAAAGACAAGAAAGGAGACCCAGGUUUUGCAAAGUUUUAUUGGAGCUCAGCCACACCUAUUCAUUUACAUAUUGUCUGUGGCUGCUGUUUUCGGCUACAAAGGCAGAGUUGAGUAGUUGUGGCAGAGGCCUUAUGGCCUGCAAAGUCUAACAUUUACUGUUUGGCCAUUUACAGAAAACAUUUGCCAACUCCUGCUCUAGAAAAAGAAGAGAAUGGGCCAGUUGCAGUGGCUGAUGCCUGUAAUCCCAGCACUUUGGGAGGCUGAGGUGGGGGGAAUCACUUGAGGCCAGAGUUUGAGACCAGCCUGGCCAACAUGGUGAACCUCUGUCUCUACUAUAAUAAAAACACACACACACACAAAAUUAGCCAGGUGUGGUAGCGCACCUGUAAUCCCAGCUACUCAGGAGGCUGAGGCACGAGAAUCGCUUGAACCUGGGAGGCGGAGGUUGCAGUGAGCUGAGAUCGUGCCAUUGCACUCCAGUCUGGGUGACAGAGUGAGACUCUGUCUGGAAAAAAAGAAAGGAAAGGAAAGGAAAAAGGAAAAAGGAAAAGGAAAGAAAAGAGAAUGGAUUUGGUGGGACAACCAGCAGCCUAUGGUUUCAAAAUUCAUCUUGGGGGUGGGUGAGGUGGCUCACGCCUGUAAUCCCAGCACUUUGGGAGGCUGAGGCAGGCGGAUCUCUUGAGGCCAGGAGUUCGAGACCAGCCUGGCCAACAUGGUGAAACCCUGUCUCUAUUAAAAAUACAAAAAUUAGCCAAGUGUGGUGGUGCACGCCUGUAAUCCCAGCUAAUGCGGAGGCUGAGGCAGGAGAAUCACUUCAACCCGGGAGGCGGAGGCUACAAUGAGCUGAGAUCACAACACUGCACUCCAACCUGGGCAACAGAGUGCGACUCUGUCUCAAAAAACAAAAAACUUAAAAAAUUUUUAAAAAUUCACCUUGGAAAUUUUUAUGAAGACACAUAAACAAAAACAUUUAUUGUAGCAUUUUUUUUGGCACACCAAGAAGCAAAAAACAACUUAUAAAGGACUGUUAAAUUAUGGACCAUAUGUAUCGCAGAAUACAAUGUAGCCUUUAAAAAUAAUGUAGAUAUUUUCUCAUUCUUGUUGAUUUUCCAAUCAAUAUGUACUGACUAGAAAACAUCCAAAUAUAUUAACUUUAAAAAGUAAAAUGUAUUUUUCUUUGUUUAGUGAAGGGAAAAAAGUAAAAUACAGAACAAUAUGUUUAGGAUGCUACCAUUUGUCGGGGGGGUGGGGAAACAAAAUUUAAUAUAUAAUACAUACCUAUAUGUUUACAUAGAAAAUUCCUGGAAAGAAGGAUACAAAAUAACCUGAAAAAGAGGUUAUUUCUGGGUGGGAACAUCAGAAAAUUGGAGGACAAAGCAGGAGGGAAGUUUACUUUUCACCAAAUACUCUUUUAUACAUUUUGAAUUGGUACAAUGUACAUGGUACCAUCUAUUUUUUAAUUAAUUAAAAAUUAAACCAAGAAAAACACACAAAAAGGUUUGCAUUUACUACCAUUGCUAACCAACUCCUCUUCUGAAAGACAUAAUUUCCUUAAAAGCUCCAAUAAUAUCUUCAAUCAGGGAUAGCCAGUUCUACUGAGCUGGGAACCAUUUUAUAUUUUCAUAUUUGCUUCCCAACUCCUUGGUGUGUCAGGUUCUCAGAGAUACUCUGUUUCUGUUGCUUUCAUAGUCAGUUUACAAAUUCUGCUUUAGGCUGGGCACCGUGGCUCACGCCUGUAAUCCCAGCACUUUGGGAGGUCGAGGCAAGUGGAUCACGAGGGCAGAAGAUAGAGACCAUCCUGGCUAACACGGUGAAACCCCGUCUCCACUAAAAAUAUAAAAAGAAAUUAGCUGGGCGUAGUGGUGGGCACCUGUGGUCCCAGCUACUCAGGAGGCUGAGGCAGGAGAAUGGCGUGAACCCGGGAGGCAGAGCUUGCAGUGAGCCAAGAUCAUGCCACUGCACUCCAGCCUGGGCGAUAGAGCGAGACUCCCUCUCAAAAAGAAAAUUUUUUGCUUUAGUCAGCCAGGCACUAUGGUUCAUACCUGUAAUCCCAGCAUUUUGGGAGGCCAAAGUGGGUGGAUUACUUGAGGUCAGGAGUUCGAGACUAGCCUGGCCAACAUGGUAAAAUCCCAUCUCUACUAAAAAUACAAAAAUUAGCCAGGUGUAGCGGCGCAUGCCUGUAAUCCCAGAAACUCAGGAAGCGGAGGCAGGAGAGUCACUUAAAUCUGGGAGGUGGAAGUUGCAGUGAGCCAAGAUUGUGCCACUGCACUCUAGCCUGGGAAACAGAGCAAGACGGCAUCUCAAACAAAAAGAAGCAAACAAACAAAAUUCUACUUUAGUCCCCUGCUUUUCUUGAAAUAUCUUCUUUCCAUACAGAAAAUCUUCUCACACAUGUUGAAUAUUAAGAGAAAGAAAUCUGACCUCAAAAGAAAAAUUGUCUUAGUUUGGGUUCAAAAAAAAAAAAGAAAAAGUUUAAAUAGAAAAAUUAAGCACAGAGAGACAUAAAUAACAGUUCCUAAGCCCGAUAAACAACUCUGAAGAAAAAUCUUGUAAGAAAACCUAUCUUUCAGUUAAAAAUGACAGAAAUCCAGCUCGCACAAGCUGAAGAGAAAAAGGAAUCCACUGGCUCAUAGAACCAGGAACCGCAGGCCAGGCGCAGUGGCUCACACCUGUAAUCUCAGCACUUUCAGAGGCCGAGGUGGGCAGACUGCUUGAGUCCCGGAGUUCAAGACCAGCCUGAGCAAUGUGGCAAAACCCCAUCUCUACUAAAAAUAUAAAAAUUAGCUGGGCACUGUGGCACGCCUGUAGUCCCAGCUACUCAGAAGGCUGAGGUGGGAGGAUCGCUUGAGCCUGGGAGGUGGAGGUUGCAGUAAGCAGAGAUCACACCAGUGCUCUCCAGCCUCGGUGACAGAGCAAGAGAGUCUCAAAAACAAAAAAGGUGGGCUUGGCUUCAAGCACAGAUCAAUCUGAUACAGAGCAGGCAAGCCCCAAAGUAGGGCUGAGCCCAUGAGACUUCUUGGCUUUGCCCAGGAAAGAAUUCAAGGGCAAGCUGAAGGUAAAAGAAAACAGCUUUAUUGAAGCGGUAGUGUUACAACCCUGUGACUGCUCCUGCAGAGCAGGUUUACCCUGUAGGCAGACAGGAGCAGCUCCGGGCAGUCUGGCAGCCACAUUUAUACCUACUUUUAAUAACAUGCAAAUUUGGCCGGGUGCGGUGGCUCAUGCCUGUAAUCCCAGCACAUUGGGAGGCGGAGCCAGGCAGAUCACCUGAGGUCAGGAGUUUGAUACCAGCCUAGUUAGCAUGGCAAAACCCCGUCUCUAUUAAAAAUACAAAAAUUAGCUGGGCAUGGUGGUACACACCUGUAAUCCCAGCUACUCGGGAGGCUGAGGCAUGAGAAUCGUUUGAACCUGGGAGGCAGAGGUUGCAGUGAGCCGAGAUCAUGCCACUGCACUCCAGCCUGGGCGACAGAGUGAGACUUUGUCUCAAAAUAAAUAAGUAAAUAAAAAUAACAUGCAGAUUAAAGGGCAGUUUAUGCAGAAAUUUCUAGGGAAGGGGGCCGGGCGCGGUGGCUCAUCUGAUAGUUUCUUAAUAAGUAGAAAGCUCAUCUA
rnacentral:lncRNA from 10 species